rnacentral:rRNA from 1 species
UACAGAGGUCCCAAGCGUUGUUCGGAUUCACUGGGCGUAAAGGGUGCGUAGGCGGUCGGGUAAGUCUGAUGUGAAAUCUCACAGCUUAACUGUGAAACUGCAUUGGAUACUAUCCGGCUCGAGGAAUGGAGGGGAGACUGGAAUACUUGGUGUAGCAGUGAAAUGCGUAGAUAUCAAGUGGAACACCAGUGGCGAAGGCGAGUCUCUGGACAGUUACUGACGCUGAGGCACGAAGGCCAGGGGAGCAAACAGG